UUGCAGAACUUGUUUCCUGAGUUCUGGUA
rnacentral:piRNA from 1 species